UUAAAGUUUUAUUUUAGCUUAAAAGUUUAUUAUUAAUUUAAUUUAUAUGUAAAUUUUUAUAUGAAUUAUUGUUUAAUUUAAUAUUAAUUAAAUAUAAAUUUAUUCGCAGUAAUUAGUAUUAUUAAUUAAAGAAAUUUAGAAAUAGUAAUAUUAAAAAGUAUUGGCUAAAUUUGUGCCAGCAGCCGCGGUUAUACGAAUAAUGCAAGUAAAUUUUUUUAGUUUAAGUUAUAUUGAUUUUUAUAAAAUAAAAAUAAAUUUAUUAGGUGAAAUUUUAAAUUUAUUAUUUUUUAAUGAAAAUAAUUGAAGCUUGAAAAUUUUAAAGAUAAACUAGGAUUAGAUACCCUAUUAUUUAAAAUGUAAAAAUAAAAUUAAGGUAGUAAUAGUUAUUUUCUUGAAACUUAAAAAAUUUGGCGGUAUUUUAGUCUAUUCAGAGGAACCUGUUCUAUAAUUGAUAAUCCACGAUGGACCUUACUUAAAUUUGUAUAUCAGUUUAUAUACCGUCGUUAUUAGAAUAUUUUUUAAGAAUAUUAAUUUUCAUAAUUUUAAAUAAGAAAAUAUAUCAGAUCAAGGUGUAGCUUAUAUUUAAGUAGAAAUGGGUUACAAUAAAAUUAUUUAUAUGGAUAUAAAUUUGAAAUUUUUUAUUAAAAGUGGAUUUGAUAGUAAAGUUAUAAAGAUAAAUAAUUUGAUUUUAGCUCUAAAAUAUGUACACAUCGCCCGUCACUCUUAUUAUUAAGGUAAGAUAAGUCGUAACAUAGUAGAUGUACCGGAAGGUGUAUCUAGAAUGC
rnacentral:ncRNA from 1 species